rnacentral:rRNA from 1 species
GUGGCGAACGGGUGAGUAGCACGUGAGUAACCUGCCCUUGACUCUGGGAUAAUCGUUGGAAACGACGUCUAAUACCGGAUACGAGCUAGGACCGCAUGGUCACUAGCUGGAAAGAACUUCGGUCAAGGAUGGACUCGCGGCCUAUCAGCUAGUUGGUGAGGUAACGGCUCACCAAGGCGACGACGGGUAGCCGGCCUGAGAGGGUGACCGGCCACACUGGGACUGAGACACGGCCCAGACUCCUACGGGAGGCAGCAGUGGGGAAUAUUGCACAAUGGGCGCAAGCCUGAUGCAGCAACGCCGCGUGAGGGACGACGGCCUUCGGGUUGUAAACCUCUUUUAGCAGGGAAGAAGCGCAAGUGACGGUACCUGCAGAAAAAGCACCGGCUAACUACGUGCCAGCAGCCGCGGUAAUACGUAGGGUGCAAGCGUUGUCCGGAAUUAUUGGGCGUAAAGAGCUCGUAGGCGGUCUGUCGCGUCUGCUGUGAAAACCCGAGGCUCAACCUCGGGCCUGCAGUGGGUACGGGCAGACUAGAGUGCGGUAGGGGAGAUUGGAAUUCCUGGUGUAGCGGUGGAAUGCGCAGAUAUCAGGAGGAACACCGAUGGCGAAGGCAGAUCUCUGGGCCGUAACUGACGCUGAGGAGCGAAAGCGUGGGGAGCGAACAGGAUUAGAUACCCUGGUAGUCCAC